GUUUAAUCAAGUUAAUUGCCGGAAGGAGAAACAAAAUGUAUAUGGACGCCGUUGUGAUCGCAGGUAUUGCCACUGUACUGCUGAUGCUUGGCUUUUUUGUUGGUGUUGGCAUCUUCGUGAUGAAAGAUCAGAAGGAGCACGGACACCAGGAUAGAAAAGAAGGGAAGCACGGACAUAAGCCGGUUUGACG
rnacentral:sRNA from 18 species